UUAGCGGGGUCUCCCUUCAUAACGAAUAAAUCUUUCGCUUUUACUAAAGAUUUCCGUGGAGGGGGACUCACUGAUGAGUCUGUAAUGAAAUUUUUUUAUAAUGAUGAACUGUCAAUGU